ensembl:lincRNA
UUAUUACUAUUACCAUUGUAAUAAAUACCUAUUAUUUUUCAGGUGGGACUACCAAGAUGAAAAGAUAUACGCCUCAUUGUUACAACUUCAGGAAGUUUAUCGUGGGAGUCAAGUGUGCAAAUCAACAAUUGGCAUGCAACUUUCAAGAGUUAAUAAUGGACCUAAAAAAUCUUGAUUUAAAUCCGAAGACAAUGUAGAUAUUCAAGGGCUCAAAAGGUUGAACCUGUACCAGUUGUCACUUGCUCCUGCUUAGAUAAACAACCGCAGCAAGUACUGGAGUAGGGCUCAUGCUGACCUCAUCAGGAAACCAUGUGUGGGUGCACUUCUUGGAGGCUUAUGAUUCAAGGUCAGUAAAGUGAAAAUUGUCCACAUGAUUCUUACACACAUAAA